rnacentral:rRNA from 1 species
AGCGGCGGACGGGUGAGUAAUGUCUGGGAAACAGCCUGAUGGAGGGGGAUAACUACUGGAAACGGUAGCUAAUACCGCAUAACGUCGCAAGACCAAAGAGGGGGACCUUCGGGCCUCUUGCCAUCAGAUGUGCCCAGAUGGGAUUAGCUAGUAGGUGGGGUAACGGCUCACCUAGGCGACGAUCCCUAGCUGGUCUGAGAGGAUGACCAGCCACACUGGAACUGAGACACGGUCCAGACUCMUACGGGAGGCAGCAGUGGGGAAUAUUGCACAAUGGGCGCAAGCCUGAUGCAGCCAUGCCGCGUGUAUGAAGAAGGCCUUCGGGUUGUAAAGUACUUUCAGCGGGGAGGAAGGYGUUGAGGUUAAUAACCUCAGCRAUUGACGUUACCCGCAGAAGAAGCACCGGCUAACUCCGUGCCAGCAGCCGCGGUAAUACGGAGGGUGCAAGCGUUAAUCGGAAUUACUGGGCGUAAAGCGCACGCAGGCGGUCUGUCAAGUCGGAUGUGAAAUCCCCGGGCUCAACCUGGGAACUGCAUUCGAAACUGGCAGGCUAGAGUCUUGUAGAGGGGGGUAGAAUUCCAGGUGUAGCGGUGAAAUGCGUAGAGAUCUGGAGGAAUACCGGUGGCGAAGGCGGCCCCCUGGACAAAGACUGACGCUCAGGUGCGAAAGCGUGGGGAGCAMACAGGAUUAGAUACCCUGGUAGUCCACGCCGUAAACGAUGUCGACUUGGAGGUUGUGCCCUUGAGGCGUGGCUUCCGGAGCUAACGCGUUAAGUCGACCGCCUGGGGAGUACGGCCGCAAGGUUAAAACUCAAAUGAAUUGACGGGGGCCCGCACAAGCGGUGGAGCAUGUGGUUUAAUUCGAUGCAACGCGAAGAACCUUACCUACUCUUGACAUCCAGAGAACUUAGCAGAGAUGCUUUGGUGCCUUCGGGAACUCUGAGACAGGUGCUGCAUGGCUGUCGUCAGCUCGUGUUGUGAAAUGUUGGGUUAAGUCCCGCAACGAGCGCAACCCUUAUCCUUUGUUGCCAGCGGUCCGGCCGGGAACUCAAAGGAGACUGCCAGUGAUAAACUGGAGGAAGGUGGGGAUGACGUCAAGUCAUCAUGGCCCUUACGAGUAGGGCUACACACGUGCUACAAUGGCGCAUACAAAGAGAAGCGACCUCGCGAGAGCAAGCGGACCUCAUAAAGUGCGUCGUAGUCCGGAUUGGAGUCUGCAACUCGACUCCAUGAAGUCGGAAUCGCUAGUAAUCGUAGAUCAGAAUGCUACGGUGAAUACGUUCCCGGGCCUUGUACACACCGCCCGUCACACCAUGGGAGUGGGUUGCAA